GAUGAACGCUGGCGGCGUGCCUAAUACAUGCAAGUCGAGCGAACGGACGAGAAGCUUGCUUCUCUGAUGUUAGCGGCGGACGGGUGAGUAACACGUGGAUAACCUACCUAUAAGACUGGGAUAACUUCGGGAAACCGUAGCUAACACCGGAUAAUAUUUUGAACCGCAUGGUUCAAAAGUGAAAGACGGUCUUGCUGUCACUUAUAGAUGGAUCCGCGCUGCAUUAGCUAGUUGGUAAGGUAACGGCUUACCAAGGCAACGAUGCAUAGCCGACCUGAGAGGGUGAUCGGCCACACUGGAACUGAGACACGGUCCAGACUCCUACGGGAGGCAGCAGUAGGGAAUCUUCCGCAAUGGGCGAAAGCCUGACGGAGCAACGCCGCGUGAGUGAUGAAGGUCUUCGGAUCGUAAAACUCUGUUAUUAGGGAAGAACAGAUGUGUAAGUAACUGAGCACAUCUUGACGGUACCUAAUCAGAAAGCCACGGCUAACUACGUG
rnacentral:rRNA from 1 species